rnacentral:rRNA from 1 species
UACGGAGGAUCCAAGCGUUAUCCGGAAUCAUUGGGUUAAGGUCGUAGGCGGCCUAUAAGUCAGUGGUGAAGCCCCAUCGCUCAACGAUGGAACUGCCAUUGAUACUGUAAGGCUUGAAUUAUUGUGAAGUAACUAGAAUAUGUAGUGUAGCGGUGAAAUGCUUAGAUAUUACAUGGAAUACCAAUUGCGAAGGCAGGUUACUAACAAUGGAUUGACGCUGAUGGACGAAAGCGUGGGGAGCGAACAGGAUUAGAUACCCCGGUAGU